rnacentral:rRNA from 1 species
CCUACGGGAGGCAGCAGUGAGGAAUAUUGGUCAAUGGGCGCGAGCCUGAACCAGCCAAGUAGCGUGAAGGAUGACUGCCCUACGGGUUGUAAACUUCUUUUAUAAAGGAAUAAAGUGAGGCACGUGUGCCUUUUUGUAUGUACUUUAUCAGUAAAGAUCGGCUAACUCCGUGCCAGCAGCCGCGGUAAUACGGUGGAUCCGAGCGUUAUGCGGAUUUAUUGGGUUUAAAGGGAGCGUAGAUGGGUUGUUAAGUCAGUUGUGAAAGUUUGCGGCUCAACCGUAAAAUUGCAAUUGAUACUGGCAGUCUUGAGUAUAGUUGAGGUGGGUGGAAUUCGUGGUGUAGCGGUGAAAUGCUUAGAGAUCACGAGGAACUCCGAUUGCGAAGGCAGCUUACUAAACUGACACUGACAUUGAUGUUCGAAAGUGUGGGUAGCAAACAGGAUUAGAUACCCCUGUAGUC